rnacentral:rRNA from 1 species
UACGUAGGGGGCAAGCGUUGUCCGGAUUUAUUGGGCGUAAAGAGCGUGUAGGCGGUUUGGUAGGUCCGCUGUGAAAACUCGAGCUCAACCUCGAGACGCCGGUGGAAACCAUCAGACUAGAGUCCGGAAGAGGAGAGUGGAAUUCCUGGUGUAGCGGUGAAAUGCGCAGAUAUCAGGAAGAACACCAAUGGCGAAAGGCG